rnacentral:rRNA from 1 species
UACGUAGGGGGCUAGCGUUGUCCGGAAUCAUUGGGCGUAAAGAGCGUGUAGGCGGCUCGGUAAGUCCGCUGUGAAAGUCCAGGGCUCAACCCUGGAAUGCCAGUGGAAACUGCCGAGCUAGAGUCCGGAAGAGGCGAGUGGAAUUCCUGGUGUAGCGGUGAAAUGCGCAGAUAUCAGGAGGAACACCAAUGGCGAAGGCAGCUCGCUGGGACGGUACUGACGCUGAGACGCGAAAGCGUGGGGAGCAAACAGG